rnacentral:rRNA from 1 species
UACAGAGGUCUCAAGCGUUGUUCGGAUUCAUUGGGCGUACAGGGUGCGUAGGCGGCGCGGUAAGUCGGGUGUGAAAUCUUGGAGCUUAACUCCGAAACUGCAUUCGAUACUGCCGUGCUUGAGGACUGGAGAGGAGACUGGAAUUUCCGGUGUAGCGGUGAAAUGCGUAGAGAUCGGAAGGAACGUCGAUGGCGAAGGCAGCCACCUGGCAUCAUACUGACGCUGAGGCGCGAAAGCGUGGGGAGCGAACAGG